UUAAGUUCAGCGGGUAAUCCUGCCUGAUCUGAGGUCUAAUCUAGAGAAUUUGACUUCAAAAUGAGUUAGAAGCUUCUACCUCGAGAUUCGGCCACUACAAGUAGUGUCCUCAGCGAAUAGUCUAUUACGCCGAGUCAAUCCGAAUACUCGAAAUUGAGUUGCUAAUGUAUUACGAACGAGCUUCGUCUUCACCCACUAGA
rnacentral:misc_RNA from 1 species